rnacentral:rRNA from 1 species
ACCUGCCCAUUGGAAUCUAAAAGGCCGCGGUAUUAUGACCGUGCUAAGGUAGCAUAAUCAUUAGUCUUUUAAUUGGAGGCUGGUAUGAAUGGUUGGACAAGAAAUAAGCUGUCUUAAAUAAAAAUAUUGAAUUUUAACUUUUAAGUGAAAAGGCUUAAAUUUUCUAAGGGGACGAUAAGACCCUAUAAAACUUUAUAUUUUAAAAUAAUAAUUAAUUUUUAUAUAGAAGAUUUAUUUUUAAAUAUUUUAUUGGGGUGAUAAAGAUAAAAUGUGAGAUAACUGUCUUUUUUUUUUUACAAUUAAUAUUUGAGUAAAAGAUCUUAACAAAGGAAAUAAGAGAUUAAGUUACUUUAGGGAUAACAGCGUAAUUUUCUUUAAGAGUUCUUAUCGACAAGAAAGUUUGCGACCUCGAUGUUGAAUUAAAAGUUCUUUAUAGAGUAGAUAUUAUAAUAGAGGGUCUGUUCGACCCUUAAAAUUUUACGUG